rnacentral:rRNA from 1 species
GUAUGGUAUUGGCUUACCGUGGCAGUGACGGUUAACGGGGGAUUAGGGUUCGAUUCCGGAGAGGGAGCCUGAGAAACGGCUACCACAUCUAAGGAAGGCAGCAGGCGCGCAAAUUACCCAAUUCUAACAGUUUGAGAGAGGUAGUAACAAGAAAUAACAAUACAAGGCAAUUAAAAUGCUUUGUAAUUGGAAUGAUAGAAAUUUAAACCCUUUUUAAAGUAUCAAUUGGAGGGCAAGUCUGGUGCCAGCAGCCGCGGUAAUUCCAGCUCCAAUAGCGUAUAUUAAAAUUGUUGCAGUUAAAAAGCUCGUAGUUGAAGUUCUGCUAAAAGUAACCGGUCUGCUUUUAAUAAAAGUGGUAUCUUGGUGUGUAUUUAGCAAUGAUGUCCUUUGAAG